CACGCCCUAAACCGAAUGCGCGUUAGGUGUAUCGGUGACCACGAGUCACCGAGGUGCCGAAGGGAAACCGUGAAACGUGCCGCCUGGGAAGUACGGUCGCAAGGCUGAAACUUAAAGGAAUUGGCGGGGGAGGCACCACAACGGGUGGAGCCUGCGGUUUAAUUUGGACUCAACGCCGGGAAGCUCACCGGAUAAGACAGCGGAAUGAUUGCCGGGCUGAAGACCCUGCAUGACCAGCUGAGAGGUGGUGCAUGGCGUAGUCGUGU
rnacentral:rRNA from 1 species